rnacentral:rRNA from 1 species
UACGAAGGGGGCUAGCGUUGCUCGGAAUCACUGGGCGUAAAGGGUGCGUAGGCGGGUCUUUAAGUCAGGGGUGAAAUCCUGGAGCUCAAAUCCAGAACUGCCUUUGAUACUGAAGAUCUUGAGUCCGGGAGAGGUGAGUGGAACUGCGAGUGUAGAGGUGAAAUUCGUAGAUAUUCGCAAGAACACCAGUGGCGAAGGCGGCUCACUGGCCCGGUACUGACGCUGAGGCACGAAAGCGUGGGGAGCAAACAGG